rnacentral:rRNA from 1 species
AAUUUUGGACAAGGGGCGCGAGCCUGAUCCAGCCAUGCCGCGUGAGUGAAGAAGGCCANAGGGUUNUNAAGCUCCUUUGGACGGANAAAAAACGCGCAGGCUAAUACCCUGCGCGGAUGACGGUACCGUCAUAAGAAGCACCGGCUAACUACGUGCCAUCAGCCGCGGUAAUACGUAUGGUGCGAGCGUCAAUCGGAAUUACCGGGCGUAAAGCGUGCGCAGGCGGUUGAUUAAAACGGACGUCAAAUCCCCGGGCUUAACCUGGGAACUGCGCUUGUGACUGGUCAGCUAGAGUACGGCAGAGGGGGGUGGAAUUCCACGUGUAGCAGUGAAAUGCGUAGAGAUGUGGAGGAACACCGAUGGCGAAGGCAGCCCCCUGGGCCGAUACUGACGCUCAUGCACGAAAGCGUGGGUAGCAAACAGG